rnacentral:rRNA from 1 species
GGUGAACGCUGGCGGCGUGCUUAAGACAUGCAAGUCGAACGGCAGUCUUCGGACUGUAGUGGCGCACGGGUGAGUAACGCGUAACUGACCUACCCCAAAGUCGCGGAUAACGAUUCGAAAGAAUCGCUAAUACGUGAUGUGCUGUCAGAUUGUGUUCUGCCAGUAAAGAUUGAUUGCUUUGGGAUGGGGUUGCGUUCCAUCAGCUAGUUGGUGGGGUAAAGGCCCACCAAGGCGACGACGGAUAGCCGGCCUGAGAGGGUGGCCGGCCACGGGGGCACUGAGACACGGGUCCCACUCCUACGGGAGGCAGCAGUUAGGAAUCUUCCACAAUGGGCGUAAGCCUGAUGGAGCGACGCCGCGUGAGGGAUGAAGGUCUUCGGAUCGUCAACCUCUGAAUCAGGGACGAAAGACACUUCGGUGGGAUGACGGUACCUGAGUAAUAGCACCGGCUAACUCCGUGCCAGCCGCCGCGGUAAGAC